UACGUAGGGUGCAAGCGUUGUCCGGAAUUAUUGGGCGUAAAGAGCUCGUAGGCGGUUUGUCGCGUCUGCUGUGAAAACUCGGGGCUUAACCCCGGGCCUGCAGUGGAUACGGGCAGACUAGAGUGCGGUAGGGGAGACUGGAAUUCCUGGUGUAGCGGUGAAAUGCGCAGAUAUCAGGAGGAACACCGGUGGCGAAGGCGGGUCUCUGGGCCGUAACUGACGCUGAGGAGCGAAAGCGUGGGGAGCGAACAGG
rnacentral:rRNA from 1 species